AAUCCUAUGCUGCCUAGAAAAGCCCAGUAGCGAGUUGACAUGGUGCCCGUACCCCAAACCAACACAGGUGGACAGGUAGAGCAUACCAAGGCGAGUGGGAUAACUAUGGUUAAGGAACUCGGCAAAUUUCCUCCGUAACUUCGGGAUAAGGAGGACCCCAGUAGCGUGACGAGACUUGCUCUCCGAGCGUGAAGGGGUGGCACAAAAUUGAGGGAAGCGACUGUUUACCAAAAACACAGCAGCGUGCUAAGCCGUAAGGCGCUGUAUACGCUGUGACUCCUGCCCGGUGCUGGAAGGUUACGGGGAUGGGUUAGUCCUUCGGGACGAAGCUCUGAACCUAAGCCCCAGUAAACGGCGGCCGUAACUAUAACGGUCCUAAGGUAGCGAAAUUCCUUGUCGGGUAAGUUCCGACCUGCACGAAUGGAGUAACGACUUCCAUACUGUCUCAACCAUAGACCCAGCGAAAUUGAAGUACGAGUAAAGAUGCUCGUUAGCUGCAGAAGGACGGAAAGACCCCGUGGACCUUUACUAUAACUUGAUGUUGUGUUUUGUCAUAUGUUGUGUAGGAUAGGUGGGAGACAAGGAAGCAUGGACGCUAGUCUGUGUGGAGUCAUCGUUGAAAUACCACCCUGCAUAUGGUGAGGCUCUAACCUAGACCCGUUAUCCGGGUUGGGGACAGCGUCAGGCGGGUAGUUUAACUGGGGCGGUUGCCUCCUAAAGAGUAACGGAGGCGCCCAAAGGUUCCCUCAGCCUGGUUGGCAAUCAGGCGUCGAGUGCAAUGGCAAAAGGGAGCUUGACUGCGAGACCUACAAGUCGAGCAGGAGCGAAAGCUGGGCAUAGUGAUCCGGCGGUUGCGUGUGGAAGCGCCGUCGCUCAACGGAUAAAAGGUACCCCGGGGAUAACAGGCUAAUCUUGCCCAAGCGUCCAUAGCGACGGCAAGGUUUGGCACCUCGAUGUCGGCUCAUCGCAUCCUGGGGCUGAAGCAGGUCCCAAGGGUUGGGCUGUUCGCCCAUUAAAGCGGUACGCGAGCUGGGUUCAGAACGUCGUGAGACAGUUCGGUCCCUAUCCUCUGUAGCCGUAGGUGAAUUGAGGAAAGCUGUCCCUAGUACGAGAGGACCGGGACGGACGCAGCUCUCGUGUGCCAGUUGUCCUGCCAAGGGCAUGGCUGGUUAGCGACCUGCGGAAAGGAUAACCGCUGAAAGCAUCUAAGCGGGAAGCCUCUUCCAAGAUGAAUUCACCCACAGGGUUAACCUGGUAAGGCCCGUGGUAGACCACCACGUUGAUAGGCCGGAAGUGUAAGCGUGGCAACACGU
rnacentral:rRNA from 1 species